rnacentral:rRNA from 1 species
AUUAAAGAGGUAAUCGUGCAAUUCGAUUUAAUUUGAAUUAAUUUAUUUAUUUAAUUAGUUUUUUGAAAUAUCUUUUUUUUUUAUUAUUUUUAAUGAAAUAAUUGUUUUUAUUAUAGAGUAAUAGUAAAGUGAUUGAAUAUUAAAAUAUAAUGAAAAUUUAAAUUUUCAAAAGAAAAAUUAGUUUUUUGUACCUUGUGUAUCAGGGUUUAUUAAUUUUUUAUUAAAGAUUUAAUUUUCUCGAAUUAAGAAGAGUUAAUUUAUAAUUUAUUUUAUUGUUAAAUAAAUAUUUAGAAUUAUAGGUUAGGGGAGAAAUUUUAAUCGUUUCUUAAUAUAUCUAGUUUUUUGGGAAAUAAGUUUAAUUUAUUAAUUUAUAAUAUUUUUUUAUUAGUUUAAUUUAAUAUUAGUAGUUAAUUAUUUCUGAGGGGAUAAGCUUUUGGGAAUAUUGUUAAAAUUUGUAUUUUGUAUUAUGAGUUGUAGAAUUAGAAUUGUUUAUCAUUUUGAGGAUGUUAUAAUUUAUUUAUUUGAAUAUAAUUUAUUAUUAUUUAGAUUUUUUACUGAAAAGUUAAUUUUAAUUUAGUUUUUUAAGUUAUAAUGAUAGAAUUAGUAUAAUUUAAUGUAUUUAUAAGUUUAAUUGUUAGGUUAUGUAAAGGAACUCGGCAAAUUAAUUUUUCGCCUGUUUAAUAAAAACAUGUCUUUUUGAUUAUGAUUUAAAGUCUGGCCUGCCCGUUGAUAGUAAUUAAAUGGCUGCAGUAUUUUGACUGUACUAAGGUAGCAUAAUAAUUAGUUUUUUAAUUGAAAACCAGAAUGAAUGGCUGAACGAGAAAGAAACUGUCUCUAUUUAAUUUAAAUUAAAAUUUAAUUUUUAAGUGAAAAAGCUUAAAUAAUUAUAAAAGACGAGAAGACCCUAUAGAGUUUUACAUUAUAAAUAAAGUAAAUUUAUUGGAAAUUGAAAAUUUUUUUAUAAUAAUGUUUUGUUGGGGUGACAGUAAGAUUGAUUAAACUCUUAUUAAUAAAAUCAUUAAUUUAUGUAUUAUUGAUCUAAUUUUUUAAUUAAAAGAAUAAAUUACCUUAGGGAUAACAGCGUAAUCUUUUUAGAGAGUUCUUAUCGAAAUUAAGGGUUGCGACCUCGAUGUUGGAUUAAAGUUAAUUUUUGGCGUAAAGGCUAAAAAUAUUAAGUCUGUUCGACUUUUAAAACUUUACAUGAUCUGAGUUUAAACCGGUGUGAGCCAGGUUGGUUUCUAUCUUUAUUUAAUUAAAAUGCUUUAGUACGAAAGGACCAAGUAUUUCAUAAAUUAUGUGUUUAUUUGAAUAAGUAUUAGUUACUUUGGCAGAUUAGUGCAAUGGAUUUAGAAUCUAUUUAUGUAGUUUAUAUACA